UACGAAGGGGGCUAGCGUUGCUCGGAAUCACUGGGCGUAAAGGGUGCGUAGGCGGGUCUUUAAGUCAGGGGUGAAAUCCUGGAGCUCAACUCCAGAACUGCCUUUGAUACUGAAGAUCUUGAGUUCGGGAGAGGUGAGUGGAACUGCGAGUGUAGAGGUGAAAUUCGUAGAUAUUCGCAAGAACACCAGUGGCAAAGGCGGCUCACUGGCCCGAUACUGACGCUGAGGCACGAAAGCUAGGGGAGCAAACGGG
rnacentral:rRNA from 1 species